GCACGUUUUGUUUUGAUGGAGAUUUUUUCAUGUUGAACAUCGUUUUGUCGAAGAAAUGCCAACUAUAGAAAACGGCAAAGGCGACGGAGAAGAGGAAAUGGAACAGGAAACGCCAGAUAGUGACAAAAGUUCAGAAGAUGAGUCUGAAUUGGGUUCUAUGGAUGAAGAUGAGUCGGAACUGGACGAAGAAGAAUGUGAAAGACGUAAAAAUGAGUUCCUGGAUGACAUGAUUGAUCUUGAAAGACAAUUCACAGACCUUAAAGAGCAGCUUUACAAGGAGAGGAUGGGGCAGUAUGAAGCCAAACUUGAGGAAGUAAAGGCAGGGAGAGCUAUUGAGUACCUCAACCCUCUGGCUGAGCUCCAGGACAAUAUGAGGAUUCGUAUACAGGUGUCAGGAAUUUUGAAAGAAUACAGAAAAAUAAGUAUCCAGAAUAAAUAUGAGAGUGAAGAACUUGCUACGAGACAAAAUAUGGAGAGUGAAAAGGAUAUAUUAUUUGACACUGUCAAGCAGGACUUGGAGGAGAAGAUCCGACGACUUGAAGAAGACAGACAUAAUAUAGAUAUAUCAUCAGACUUAUGGAACGAAUCACAGUUUAUGAAGAAAAAUAAAAAGAAUAAAGACCCCUCCAACCCUGACAGACGAAAGAAACCUGUAACAGUGGCUGGUCCCUAUAUAGUUUAUCUAUUAAAAGAUGUUGAUAUUAUUGAAGACUGGACAGCUAUUAAAAAGGCUUUAAAACAAAAUCAGAAAAGGAAAGCAGAGAUCGAGUUUUGAGGCUUUUAGAUAUUCCAUUAAAAUACGAAGAAAUCAGGAAGUGCCCAUCAUCAUGACAUGAAGUUUGACCUUGGUCCAUGAUAUAAAUGUGUAUGUAGGAGACUUUUCAGAAAAGCCUACAUAUACAUCAGAAAUAGGAAAAAACAUUGUAUAAUGGCAUCUUAUAGAGGUGUACAUCAAAAAUAGGAAAAUUCCUUGGUGAUUGUCGGAGAUAUAGCAUACUUCAGUCAAAAAUAGGAAAAUUCCUUGGUGAUUGUCGGAGAUAUAGCAUGCUUCAGUCAAAAAUAGGAAAAUUCCUUGGUGAUUGUCGGAGAUAUAGCAUGCUUCAGUCAAAAAUAGGAAAAUUCCUUGGUGAUUGUCGAGUAUAUAGCAUACUUCAUGAUAUAAAUGUGUAUGUAGGAGACUUUUCAGAAAAGCCUACAUAUACAUCAGAAAUAGGAAAAAACAUUGUAUAAUGGCAUCUUAUAGAGGUGUACAUCAAAAAUAGGAAAAUUCCUUGGUGAUUGUCGGAGAUUUAGCAUACUUCAGUCAAAAAUAGGAUAAUUCCGUGGUGAUUGUUGGAGAUGUAGCAUACUUCAGUCAAAAAUAGGAAAAUUCCAAGGUGAUUGUCGGAGAUAUAGCAUACUUCAGUCAAAAAUAGGAUAAUUCCUUGGUGAUUGUUGGAGAUGUAGCAUACUUCAGUCAAAAAUAGGACAAUUCCUUGGUGAUUGUCGGAGAUAUAGCAUACUUCAGUCAAAAAUAGGAUAAUUCCUUGGUGAUUGUCGAGUAUAUAGCAUACUUCAGUCAAAAAUAGGAUGAUUCCUUGGUGAUUGUUGGAGAUUUAGCAUACUUCAGUCAAAAAUAGGAUAAUUCCUUGGCGAUUGUCAAGUAUAUAGCAUACUUCAGUCAAAAAUAGGAAAAUUCCGAAUUGUGCAUUUGAAAUAUAGCGUAUUUCAGAGAUGUAUAGCAGAAAUGUAGAUGCCACAUUUUCUGUCUGUGAGACACACUAUACAUGUCCUGAUAAUGACAUUCCAUACAUACAUAUGUUGGAAAAUCUAUACAGUAUGCUUUUCCAAGCAUUGCUGUGUAGACGACUAUUGCAGCUAAUUUCUUUUGAUGGAUUUUCAGUGUUGUGUUCAGUACAGUGUAAUUUCUUGAAGAAAAUACAUACACACGAAACUGUUUGAUAUAAACACCCUUUAGUAAACAAGUGACUGUUACAGUCUUACUUACAUGGGUACACUACCUCCAACAUAUCAAAAGAGUGUACCAUUUGGUGUCAGAAUUGAUAUUUGAUAUAAAGGGGGUUGAGUGGUCAAGUCAUCUUUAUCACUAGUCCUCCACCUCUAGGAUGCAGGUUUGAGAUGGACAUGGGGCAGUUGUCAGAUACUGAUGGAGGUCAGCAGUUUUUCUCCAGGAACUCUGUCUUUCCUUCAUCACCUAAAUCUGGCAUGCCCUUAAAUGGCCCUGGCUGUUAAUAGGAGGCAAAGCAAAAUGAACUGCUAUAAGUAUUGUCAUUAUGACCAGGGACUUGGAUAUAUCUUGGUCUAGGUCUGUGUAAUGACUUAAAAUUUUCAGAGAGUUAUUGAAAGUGACACAGGAAAAAAUUUGUUUAUCUCACAAUUAGAAUUAUCAUUUGAAUAUAGCUUAUCUUAAAAUGCAAUAAGAUGACAGGUCUUCUCGUCAUUAAAUAGACAUGUGGUUUUUAUCUCCAGAGGUCAAUGUCAUUAUAAUGACGUGAUUUUUCAUGUCCAGAGGACAAGGUCAUUUAACUAAUAUUUUUCCAGAAGUCAAUGUCGUUAAAUUGAAGUGUUACUUUCAUGUCUAAAGCUCAAGGUCGUCAUAUUGAUAUAUGGUUUUCAUGUCAAGAAGUCAAAGUCAUUAAAUUAACAUGUGCUUUUUACACAUUGAAGGUUCAAGGAUACACAUAUCAGACUUUAACUUUUUUCAGUUUCUAAACUGUUACAGUUAGAAAAAUAGAUAUUAAAAGUUUGUAGAAAAUAGUAUAACUGAUCUGAAAUCAUGUGUGAACAACUUUUUUUCAUUUUCUUUUCACAACAUUAUUUACAUCAACUUGUUUUAACCGAGUAGCAGUGAUAGAAAAGAUAUGAAAUGCAUCUCUGACAUAGGUUAGCCCCAAAAGAACAUUAAAAAUAAGAGUGACUGUUAACACGACUUUGUGUAGGUCAUGUAUAUUGGUACAUAACAUGUUUAUAAAAACCCAGUACGGAAAUGAAUCAGUGUGAUGACGAGAUAUCCAAAAUUCAAUUUUAGAAAAAGAGAUCUUAAUGUUAAAGCAGUAUCAAUGUGUGGUAGUGCUCUGAGUGUGAUUAUUUUAAAAACUUGGGGUCAAAGAUUUUAGUCAUCCUUAAAGCACCACAAACAUUGAACCUGACAAAACGUGAUACAGUUGAGUCCUUGUAAAUUGUUGUUCAAUUUUAUUCUCUUUAUAUAUCUACUUUUGAUGUAAAACUGGGUCCAACUUUUCAAAAGCAUUUUGUCAAAUACUAAAAUUGUAUGUAUUUGGUUUUGAAUUUUCUUUACCAUUAAGACAAACACAGGAAAAUGUCUCAUAUCUGUCAUACACGUUUUUUUACCCAGAGAUUUAGUCAGAUUUUGCCAGGAUUUUAUGAUGCAUGUAAUAAGUUUUCCUUCACUGAAUGGCUACUUUCUUUUCACUGCAAUACAAAGUGUUCAUUAUGGCAGUUAAAACAGACAUAUUCUCCUAGGUUUGUAAACAUAGUGAAGGAUAUUUAUCAAUCUGUCAAUACAACUGUCAUUUCUCUUGUAAAAUUUUGUAAAUUAAAAUAUAAAUGAUGCAUAA